rnacentral:rRNA from 1 species
UACAGAGGUCCCAAGCGUUGUUCGGAUUCAUUGGGCGUAAAGGGUGCGUAGGCGGCGCGGUAAGUCGGGUGUGAAAUCUCGGAGCUUAACUCCGAAACUGCAUUCGAUACUGCCGUGCUUGAGGACUGGAGAGGAGACUGGAGUUUACGGUGUAGCGGUGAAAUGCGUAGAUAUCGUAAGGAAGACCAGUGGCGAAGGCGGGUCUCUGGACAGUUCCUGACGCUGAGGCACGAAGGUCAGGGGAGCAAACGGG